rfam:Loxodonta africana unplaced genomic scaffold scaffold_4, whole genome shotgun sequence.
ACCCUGUUGGUGUAGUGGUUAAGCGUUUGGCUGCUAACCAAAAGGUUGGCAGUUCGAAUCCACCAGGUG